rnacentral:misc_RNA from 1 species
UCAGAAAGCCGAAAAAAGCCCUCUAGCGGCGAGACGUAAAACUAAAAAAACAUGAAAUAUAAUAAUAUUCGUAGCUUAAUAAUAGCUCUUUUCAACUAGCCCAAGUUUGAUAAAAUCGGCUAAGGCGUUUUUAGUAUACAGGGUGUGUUUUAAGCCAACUUUUGAACACCCCCCACCACUUUAUUUUUAGAGAUACAGCAAAACUAUUCAAAUAAAAAAGGUUCGGAUUAGUCUCUACUUUAAUAAUCAGCUAUUUUUUUGUUAGGUUAAUUCAGCAAAAUUUACAGAAACAUUAGUUUUCUAGAUUCAAGAUUGCAGUUGCGCCCCCCUAGCGGCCAUUUUAGAGACUUGAAAAUAUUUUCCAGGGACCUGUUUCAUAAACCAUACUGAUAAUAUUAGCUAUUAAUAUUAGUCUCAUAAAUUAAUAAUAUUAGUAUGCUUUUUUCUGUUUCAUAAAAAUAUAUAUUAGACUAAUAAAAGUGAAGACUAAUAAUAUUAUUUUACUAGUCAGCUGUUUACAAGUUAGUGAGGUUAUGUCAUAAUUUGCGGUGCGGUUCCAUUAAGUGGCGUUAAAUUUGCAUAAUGUCUAAAAUAAGAAGUAAAAGAUCGGAAAAGCAAGUUAAGCAACAAAACUUUCUCCGAAAAAUUAAAGACAUGAAAGAUAGUCUAUUUGGACAGUUUUCUACCACACUGACCAAGGAAACAAAAAGAUCCGCAUGGAUGGAAGUUAGGGACUAUGCGGUUUCUAUUGGAUUGAUUACAUGCGAGAAAGACUACACCUACGUGCGUGAUGCUACUUGGCCUAAUAUUCGGAACCGAACAAUGAUCAAACUUGAUAACGCAAAAAAAACUGGAUCAGAUGGCGGCCCCGAUUCGAAACUUGAUGACACCGACAAGCUAGUAAUUGAAAUAAUUGGAAAAAACUCUCCAGUUAUAGAAGGAAUCGGGGUCGCGGAUUCAAUGGAGGAAGAGGUUGUAACCCAAACUCUACCGACUAAUACUGAGACAUUACCUGAUGUAACAGAAAUAAAAGAGAAUGUGGGAAAUACAUUUGAAGAUGUCGUAAGCCCACCGCUGAAGUCCCAAAAGUUAACAAGAGGUUAUUAUCGAUAGUUCCUAAAUUAAUUUUCAAUUCCAGCUGGCUUUGGAUAGAAGGCUACAGCUGGACAAAAAUACAUUUCCAUUAGAUAAAUACCUCGAUAAAGACUGUCCUCAUAAAAAGAUUAUUACUUAUAUUUUUUAUUUUUCCACCAAAAAACUCGUUUAUUUUUGUGCAUAGAAAGUAACCUUUCCAAGAUGUCUUAAGAGAAAAAUCAUUGUCCAAAAUUCCAAUGAAACAAAAUACCUCGAGGACCUCAAGAGAAAAAAACUUGAACUAGAAGUCCGAAAAUUGGAGUUGGAAGUGUGGGAUAAAGAAAGGUCACUUAAUGUAAGUCACUGUAACCUUACAAGCCAUAUUGAAGAGCAAAAGGACACACAAAAUAUUACUGAAUAUAUUUUAAAUGAAGAAGGUGAUGUAAUCGGUAUUAAUGAAAAACUAUGACUGAUUUAAAAAAAAAUGUUAUCUAUCUAAAUA